GCCCUGAUGGUCUAGCGGUAUGAUUCUCCCUUAGGGUGCAUCUUCGGAUACAACCAUCUGGGAGAGGUCCCAGGUUCGAAUCCUGGUUAGGGCC
rnacentral:tRNA from 2 species